rnacentral:snoRNA from 1 species
AUUCUCCUGUGAUGACGUGCACUGGGCUCUGAGACCACAUGGAGAUUGUGUGCACCUUUGGCCUUGACAAGUCAAAGAUACUGAGGAGGAU